ACGGGGUGCAGCAGGCGCGAAACCUCUACAAUGCACGAAAGUGUGAUAGGGGAAUUCCACGUGCAAGCUAUGCUUGCUUUUCUCAAGUCUAAAACGCUUGGGGAAUAAGGGCUGGGCAAGACCCGUGCCAGCCGCCGCGGUAACACGGGCAGCUCUAGUAGCGUUCGCGAAUAUUGGGCCUAAAGCGUGCGUAGCCUGUUAAACAAGUUCUUGGUGAAAGCCUGUGACUCAAUUAUGGGAGUUGCCAGGAAAACUGUUUUGACUUGGGACCGGGAAGGGUCGGAGGUAUUCCUUGGGUAGGGGUAAAAUCCUAUAAUCCUUGGAGGACCAUCGGUGGCGAAGGCGUCCGACUGGAACGGGUCCGACGGUGAGGCACGAAAGCUAGGGGAGCGACCGGGAUUAGAUACCCCGUUAGUCCUAGCCGUAAAUGAUGCAAGUUUGGUAUUGCAAUCCUUACGAGGGAUUGCAGUGCCGUAGGGAAGCCGUAAACUUGCCGCCUGGG
rnacentral:rRNA from 1 species